UUCAGAGCUGCAAGUUGUAGAUGGUAACUUGGUGCUUUUUGAUGAGAGGCAUACUGAAAUUUGGUCCACAAACACAAAAUUGAAGUCCUCCAGGGCAGUAGCAAUACUUCUUGAUGAAGGAAAUUUAGUUUUGAGAAAUGGAUCAUCAAAUACAACAGUUUGGCAAAGUCGGGAUUACCCAUCAGAUACAUGGUUGCCAGGAGGUUACCUUGGUUACGAUAAACGUGCAAACAGGACACAGAUUCUUACUUCAUGGAAAAACUCAGAAGAUCCUUCUCCUGGAUUGUACACUUUUGAACUUGACCCGGUUGGAAAUCAAUAUCUGCUCAAGUGGAACAGGUCCCGUCAAAUAUGGACUAGUGGAGCUUGGAAUGGACAGGCAUUUACUAAUGUACCCGAGAUGGCCAGUGGAGCUAUUUUUACCUUUACCUAUAUAUCAAAUACUAAUGGUUCUUAUUUAACAUAUUUUCUUGAAAAUACUUCCUCAAUCAUUACACAGUGGAGAUUUAUUGUCGAUUAUAGUGGGCAAAUUAAGGAGAUGGGAUGGUUGGCUACUCAGCAAAAGUGGUCCUUAUUUUGGUCCAAGCCAAAUACACAGUGCCAAGUUCAUGCUUUUUGUGGAGCCUAUGGUGUUUGCAAUGAUCUAACCUCUCCUUUCUGUAACUGCUUGCCUGGUUACGAAAGUAGGAUUGAGAAAAGCUGGACUUUGGGAGAUUAUUCUGGUGGUUGCAAGAGAUUUGUGGAAUUGGAGUAUGGUAAUGCAAACACUACUAGCAAGAAAACAGAUAUCUUUCAAUUUUUUUCACACAUGAAAUGGCCUGAUAAUCCUCAAGCUUUCUCAGCUGUGAAUGCAGCACGCUGCAAAUCCGAAUGCUUGAGCAAUAUUUCUUGCACAGCUUAUGCUUAUUAUGAGAACACCUGUUUCACUUGGCAUGGGGACCUCUAUAAUAUGCAACAGCUACCAGAAAAUGACAACAAUGGCAGGGUCAUCUACAUUAGAAUCCCUUCAUCUGACUCUUCAAAAAAUAUUAAGGGGAUUAUUUUUGGUGUUGUUGGAGGGUCAAUUGCAAUUCUAUCCAUCUUUUCCGGCCUUCUUUUACUUGCAUUCAGACGACAUAAAUCAGGAAGAGCUAAUAAGAUUGAAAGAGCUGCAGAUGGUAGAAUCGUGGCAUUUGGCUACAAGGAUUUGAAAAAUGCAACCAAGAAUUUCUCUGAAAUGUUGGGGAAAGGAGGCUUUGGAUCAGUUUACAAGGGUACAUUACCCGAUUCAACAGUCAUAGCAGUGAAGAAGCUGGAAGGCGUCAGCCAAGGGGAGAAACAAUUCCGCAAUGAAAUCAGCACAAUUGGUAACAUUCAACAUAUAAACCUUGUGCAUCUUUGUGGUUUCUGUUCUCAAGGUAACAAGAAGUUGUUAGUGUACGAGUAUGCAUCCAAUGGAUCAUUAGAUUCUCAUCUUUUCAACCCAAAAAAGGAUGAGGGUAUAUUACCGUGGACAACAAGGUAUGAAAUUGCAUUAGGGACAGCCAGAGGACUGGUGUAUCUGCACGAGAAAUGCAGGGACUGUAUCAUACAUUGUGAUAUAAAACCUGAAAACAUUCUUCUGGAUUCUUUCAUGUGUCCCAAAGUUGCAGACUUUGGGCUAGCAAAGUUGGUGGGGCGUAAUUUUAGUAGGGUUUUGACCACAAUGAGAGGAACUCGAGGCUACCUUGCUCCUGAAUGGAUAUCUGGCGGAGCCAUAACAGCAAAAGCAGAUGUGUAUAGCUUCGGAAUGAUGUUGUUUGAGUUUGUGUCAGGUAGGCGAAAUUCUGAGCAAACUAGAGAUGGAAAGGUAAAUUUCUUUCCGGCAAUUGCUGCAAAUGUGAUAAUGAAUGAGGGAGACAUCCUUACUAUAUUAGACCCCAAUUUAAACCUGGUUGCUGAUAUUGAAGAAGUAAGCAAUAUCUGUAGACUAGCUUGUUGGUGCAUCCAAGAGGAUGAACAUGUGAGGCCAACAAUGAGCAAGAUAGUUCAAGUUCUUGAAGGGGUUUUGGACGUGGCCAAGCCUCCUGAUCCUCGAGGACUUCAAGUCUUUAUCGACAAUGAAGAUGAUGUUGUUUUCCUCGUGGAUAAGGCAUCCUCCUCGAAUUUGCAUAUACAGAGCGAUCCUGCAUGGGCUUCAUCAUUCGUUAAAGAGCAGGAGACCAACAAAAAGACCCAGGGUUCAAAGAUACAAGAAUGGGAAUCUGAUUGAGCUUCGCUUGGGUUCCGUUUUCAUAUUAGAAAGUUUGGGAAAUGAAACUAUAGACAAAAUAUAUAUAGAUAUUAUGUAAAAUAGUCUCACAUUUCCAUUAUAUAUUUCUAUAAAUAUAAUAAAAUCCAAAUCUCCAAAAGUUGGUAAUAUUUGUCCAACCUAUACACACCUCUCUUGUAACAAGAUUACAUACACUAGAGGAAAAGCGGCUACUUUCUACCUUUUUUUUCGACCAGAAACUAUUUUCGACCGUUUUUGUUCGAAAAUAAAUUGGUGGAAAAUAACCAGUGGGGAAAAAAAAAAAAGCGACCAAAAACCGUCGAAAAUAAAGCUGGUCGAAGAUAACUGGUCGAAAAUAAUUUUAUCUUCGACCCCAUAAAUUCGACUUUGCACUCUAGUUUUUUCCCGCCAUGAUUUUAGUUUAAAAUAAUUUCCGGUCGAAAAUAAUACGUCACGGGAAAUUUGCCGCAAUUUCAAAUUUGAAACAUUUUAAAAUGAUUUCAGUAUAUUACGGCUGUUUUGGUCGAAUUUAUAUUUUCGACCGUCUUUGGUCGGUAAAUAUGUUUUCAACCAUUUUUGGUUGAAUUUAUGUUUUUGACUGUUUCUGGUCGAAGUUAACUAGGGCUGUAAAUUGAUACGGACUAUCCGGUGUCUCGGCUCAUAUCCGGCUCAAAAAUAUGAUACAUGUCUCAUAUCCGUUUUGAAAACGAUCCAAAUCUGGCGGAAAAACUAAGCCCGUAUAAUAUAUGAUCCCGGAUACGAGCACACCUAUACCCGCUCAGAUUCGGUCUCAUAUAUUUUUUCAUAAUAUGAUCCUACCCGAAUAACCGAAUAUGAUCCACGGUUCAUAUUCGAUUCAAGCUCAUAUACAUAUUAUAUUUUAACAUUAUCAUAUUUGCAAGUAAAUAGUCAUCAUUUUAUAAAAUUUUAAUAUCUUAUUUAAGUUUAUAUCUUCAUAAAAUAUGAUUUAUUUAAUGUGAUCAUGCUUAUUAUCUUCAUAUAUAUUUAAUAAAUAAUAUAUACCAACAUAUAACUAUAAGUUUUAAUUUAAUAUUAUUAUACUUUAUAAUAUUAUGUUUACCUAGACUAAAUGAUAAUUAUUGAACGACUGAAAUAAUAAUGAUAUUUAAUGUUAGUAGAUCAUAUCCGGCUCAUAUUCGAUGGAUCAUAAACUACCCGGUUAAUAAAUAGAAAAUACGAUACUGGAUCAUAUCCGGUUCAGAUCCGAAUCUCAAAUACCCGGUAUCGGUUUAUAUCCGAAUAAAACGAUCCCGGACCCAAAUCUGGACAAGCUAAAAAUUAAAUGAUCCGGUACUUGAGCAGAGGGGUACCCGGGAUCACCCGGAUCAUUUUACAGCCCUAAAGUUAACCGAACAAAAAAAAGCCCCUGAUGACCUUCCCUUUCCAGUAGCCAUUUUUGUAGCUUAUCUUUCCCCAUUCAUUCUUUCUGUGUGUGUUUGUCUCUCUCUUUGUGCCCCCAAGCUCAUGAAUUGCAUAUGAAACCUUUAUAAACAUCAAGUAAUUUUUAUAAUCAUGCAUUUAUAACCUAUAUAUAUUUGUCUUUGUUAAUUAUUGUAAUUGUAGGAUUUUUUUCAUAUAUUUAUAACUUUUUCAUGUUUAUAUAGAUGUGAUAUAUUUGCACAUUUUAAUUGUGUAUUUAUGUUGAAAUGCAUUAAAAUAAAUUCAAUAUAUGUAUUUAUUGUAGAUGGCAUCCGAUCGUAGUUGGAUUAGUCGUAGUCGAAAUAAUGAGUCAAGAUAUCUAACGAACGAAUACAAAAAUGGUGUUGAUGAUUUCAUUAAAUUUGCUUGUGAGAAUCUUCGUGGUGGGGUUUUUACGUGUCCGUGUGGAAAUUAUAAAAAUAAGCAUUACAAGAAUCCUAUUGCCGUUAAGCUUGAUUUGUAUCGGUAUUUUAUGAUGCAAUGGUAUAUUAUAUGGACUGCACAUUGAGAGAAAAUGCCGGAAGAAAAUACCGGAACGAGUACUAGAAAUGUUGGUGAUGGGGAUGAUGAUAUGUAUCAUGACGCCGAUGAUAUGUUAAGAGAUUUUGGGGAGGCAAAUAGGUAUUGUGAGAAUAGGUGAUGGGAGAUUUUAUAGGAUGUUGCACAGUGCUUCGAAACCAAUUUAUCCAAAUAUUAUCAACUAUACAACUUUUGAGUUCGUGAACGAGUUACUUCAUUUUAAGAACAAACAUAAUUGUAGUAACAAUGACUUUGAUGAGUUUAAAGUAUCUCAAGAACAAAGCUCCACGUCCGAAACUCGAACAUGUGAAGAAGAAACUAAAGUAUCUCAAAAUAACAAUUAUGCGAUGUAUUUUGAUAAUCUUAGUUUUUAUUUAUCGUUUAAUUAUCUAUGUUAGUAUUAUUUUGUUUCAUAUUUUUAAUUUUCAUGUAUUCUGAAAUUUUAUUUAUUUUGAAAUUUUAUUUAUAAUUAAUAAUCAUUUUUAUUAUCCAAAUCAUUAAAUAAUAAAAGUAACAAUAUUUUAAUAUUAAAAAGAUUUGAAUCAGUGAAUAACAGUGAUCCAAAUUUGAACCAAUACUAAUCCAAAUUUAGAUCAUUUCUUAAUUCAGCUUAGAGUAGUUUCGGACAAAACGGUCUCAAAUUUGAAUUUUUUUAAUCAUGGUUAGAGAUCCACUUACAGCAUCUCCAACCCAUCAAAACCCUUAGCUAAAAUUCAUUAAAUCAUACCAUAAAUAAAGAUUAUAGAUAAAUUUGCUCCACUCCAACUACACAUAACCCUUGUCUAAAAAUAUAGUCAACCAAGUGAUGUUGGCUAUAUUUGGCCAACCAAUACAAGCAUGUAGCAAUAUAUAUAGCAAGAUUUCGUGUCAUUUAUUACUAUAUGAUAAUAUACAUUCGGUUUAUAACAACUUGAAAUAUAAUAACUUACUAUUUUUGAAAUAUAGCCAACCAAUAUAGCCAGUAUUAUCGAAACAAAAUGGCUUACAGUUUUGACAAAUUUUACAUAAUAUCUUACACGUCCAAUUUAGCCAAUCCCUAACACCGUUGGAGAUGCUUUUGUCACAUUACUCGAAGUAAUUACAAGAUUCCUCUCCAGAGCAGAGACAUCCAAUUUUCCAACUAUCUAGACGUACACAUUACUCUAAAUUUAUGUUUAUUUUUUUUGUUUUUGAAAUAUAUAUUAUUAUAUACAUGUGUUAUGAGUUAUGACAGAAUAUAGAAUAAUAUAUUUUUAUAUAUUCCUUAUUUUGAAAAAUAAAAGGUGCCGAUUUAGUUUAAAUGUUCCUGAUGAUUAUAUACGCUCAUCUAUAUUCUUUUAUUAUUUUAUCAAUCUCAAAAUAAUAGUGAUUUUAAUUUUUAAUACUAAAUUUGAGAUGUAAAAAGAAAUAUUUUUAUACAUUAUUUUCCAUAUAUUUUUCUUGAAUAAAAAUUUAAAAUCUAUAUUUUUUAUUUAUAUUACUGCAUAUAUAUAUAUAUAUAUGUAUUUAAUAAGUUAAUAGUUUAAUAUAAUUUAUUUAAUAGGAAAACUUAAUAAUCAUAUAAAAUUUAAUCGACCUAACUUGGCAUAGGCUUUAUUUAUGCCCAGUAAACUUCAAGUGCAAUAACUUGCGUAAAAUGUUGGGACAUCAAAUGUGAUAAAAAAAAAUGGAUUAAAACGAUAGUGCCAUAUAUUUAUCAGUUAUAAUCUGUUGAAAAUAAUAUGGACUAUGUUCUUCCUGGUCAAAGGUACUACUUAUUUUAUCACAAAGUAGUUGAGAAGCCACGCGUUGCAGCGAUUUAUAAAAAUUAUAUUAAUGAUUCAAAAUUAAUAUUUGUAAAAUAAAAUAAUUUUGUGAUUGUCUAUAAAAAUUAUAUAAACGUUUCAAAAUUAAUAAUUUUCGGAUAAAAUAAAUUUUAUAUUAUAAAAAUCUUGAUGUAAUACCAAUACUAAUAUAUAAAAUUGCAAAAUUGGACUAUAAUUCAUGAUGAAAAAAUGAAAAUAAAUUUAUACACGUAAUCAACAAUUUAAAGCACGACGAAUCUUAAUUUUCUUUUGAAAAUAAUCAUGUAGUAUUCAUAGGGGAAGAGAGACCCUACUCUUUUCCAUAAUUAAAUAAUCUGAGACAAAAUCAGAUUAAAACUUUCAAGUUACUAUAUUCCAUAAAUAAUUUGAAACAAAAUCAGAUUCUGAAACUUACUUCUAAUAUACCUGAAACUAAAAAUGGUAGUUCUAAUUUUUGAUAUUUUUCAUCUAAUAAUUCCAGAAAAUUAGAAAAAUAGAACAGAGCGAUGUGAGAGGUGCCACCUACACGCCCCUCGUUUCUCCACCAUAUUUUCUUGCAUGUAUACAAAGUAAAUCAUAUAAAAAUUAACAACAACAAACAUGUCCGAUGAACAAAACAAAUAUUAUAAAAGAAUAACCAACAAACAUACAUCACUAAUAGUUAAUUUAUUAAUAUCAUCCAUCAAUAUCAUGUCAAGACUAUAUUUUUUUCCCGUGUUUGAAUUUGUCGACUUCCACAUAGCGAUCUAUAACUACAUUUGCUUGCAACAACCUUUAUUUUUUUAAUACUAUAUAUACAGCCUUCACUUAUCGUUGCAGAAGAACGGCACCAUCGAGUUAGAAAUCAAGCAAGAGAACUAUCACCAAAUAGAGGUAGAGUUGUGGUAUUGAGAGAGAGGAGGUUGUGUUUAGAUGAUCCAAAACCUGUAUUUAUAGAUGUAGAGAGACUUGUGUGCUACACUUUUCAAUAAUUAAAUAAUCUGAAACAAAAUCAGAUUAAAACUUUCAAACUACUAUAUCCAUAAAUAAUAUGAAACAAAAUCAGAUUCUGAAAUUUGCUUCUAAUAUACCCGAAACCAAGAAAAGGUAGUUUUGAACAAAAUCAGAUUCUGAAACUUACUUCUAAUAUACCCGAAACUAAAAAAGGUAGUUUUAAUUUUUGAUAAUUUUCAUCCAAAAAUUCCAGAAAAUUAGAAAAAUAGAACGGAGCGAUGUGAGAGGCGCCACCUACACGCCCCUCGCUUCUCCUUUAUAUAAAUAUAUUGAUAAUAGAUGAUUUUGCACUCAUUUUAAAACUUCAAGAAGAUGCGACGAUUUUCUAUCGAGUCGAUCGUAACCAACCCCUAGCAAUAUUACUCAAAAGUCAUAAGUCAUUAAGUCUAUUUUAAAUAUUAUUUUCAAAAUGAAUUAGAAAAUAGUACUGACCGUAUUUUUCAACAAGCUGUCAAAGUCUCAAAUUUUUUCUAAACAUGAUUUUCCAACAGGCUAGCGACACAAUUUUCAACAGGUUACUGACCAUAUUUUCAACAAACUAUCAUACAUUUUAUAUUUUUCCGUCCAACUCAAUUUAUACAAUUUUUUUCAGUUUGUUAUGUAUUUUAAGACUUUUAUAAAGUAUAAAUCUAUAACUUAUUUUUAAUUUUUAUUGUUUCUGAAUGAAAAUUUAAAUAUUAUAUUUCAAUUUAAGAAAAAAUAAUUAAAACAAAUUAUGAAAUUAUAUUUUUAUAAAAAAUUUAUAGCCUUCCCUCUCGCCCUACACAAUUGACCGGGUGGAGGAGUAUUACUCUAAAAGAAGCUAUUAAUGACAUUGACCACAAUGUCAUUUAUAUGGUCCCGUGUUAAUAUUUUCCAACAGGCUACUUGGAAAUUGUAAUCACCACCAGUUCAUUUGCGUAUGGUUCGGUGUUCAUAUUUUCCAACAGGCUACUUGUAAUCACCACUAUUUCAUUUGUACUAUAAAACGAGAGGUUCACUCGAGAGUUACAAACAUUCCCCAGUAGAAAGAGUAAACUUUCAUGCACUGGAUAAAGCUAUGGAUGCUAAACAAAAUCUUUUCUUUGUGCCAAUACUAUUAUUUUUCUUAUGUUUCAGUACAACCUGUCAUUUCUCUUUUGGAGCCGAUAGCAUCUCAGCUUAUCGCUCUCUCUCGGGCGACAGAACCAUUGUCUCUUCAGGUGGAAAUUUCGAACUUGGUUUCUUCAAGCCUGGCAAGCUUUCCAAGUACUACAUUGGCAUGUGGUUUAAAAAGGUUUCUGCUCAGACUGUAGUGUGGGUAGCAAACCGAGAGAAGCCCGUCACUGAUAAGUAUUCUUCAGAGCUAAAACUUGUUGAUGGUAACUUGGUGCUGUAUGAGAAGGGUACUGAAAUUUGGUCCACAGAUACAAAAUUGAAGUCCUCCAGUGUAGUUGCAGUACUACUUGAUGAAGGAAAUUUAGUUUUGAGAAAUGGAUCAUCAAAUACAACAGUCUGGCAAAGUUGGGAUUACCCGACAGAUACAUGGUUUCCAGGAGGUUACCUUAGUUACGAUAAACGUACAAACAGGACACAGAUUCCUACUUCAUGGAAGAACUCUGAAGAUCCUGCUCCUGGAUUGUACACUUUAGAAAUUGACCCAAUUGGACAUCAAUUUUUGAUCAGGUGGAACAGGUCCCGGCAAAUAUGGACUAGUGGAGCUUGGAAUGGGCAGAUAUUUACUAAUGUGCCCGAGAUCGCCAGUGGAUCUAUUUUUAACUUUACCUAUAUAUCCAAUAAUCACGGUGAUUAUUUAACAUAUUUUUUCGCAAAUAGUUCUGCAUACAUUAUUAGUAGAUCUGUUAUGGAUUAUAAUGGGCAAAUUAAGCAAUUUGGAUGGUUGCCUGAUCAACAGAAGUGGUCCCUAUUUUGGUCGGAGCCAAAUACACAGUGCCAAGUUAAUGCUUAUUGCGGAGCCUAUGGUGUUUGCAACGAUAUUUUUUCUCCUUUAUGUAAUUGCUUGCCAGGCUUCAAAAGUAGGUUUGAGAAAAGCUGGACUUCGGGAGAUUAUUCUGGCGGCUGCCAGAGAUAUAUGGAACUGGAGUCUGGUAAUGCAUACACUACCGGCAGGAAAGCAGAUAUCUUUCAAAUUCAUUCACACAUGAAAUGGCCUGAUAAUCCUCAAGCUUUCUCUGCUGUGAAUGCAGAACGCUGCAAAUCCAACUGCUUGAGCAAUAUUUCUUGCACAGCUUAUGCUUAUUAUGAGAAAGCCUGUUUCACUUGGAACGGGGACCUCUUUAAUAUGCAGCAGCUAUCUGUAGAUGACAGCAAUGGCAGGGUCAUCUACAUUAGAAUUCAUUCAUCUGGCUCUUCAAAAAAUAACAAGGGGAUUAUUUAUGGCGUUGUUGGAGGGUCAAUUGCAAUUCUGUCCGUCCUUCUUCUAAUUGCAUUCAGACGACACAAAUCAGGUAUAGCUACUGUGAUCGAAAGAGCUGCAGAAGGUACAAUGGUGGCAUUUGGCUACAAGGAUUUGCAAACUGCAACCAAGAAUUUCUCUGAAAUGUUGGGGAAGGGAGGCUUUGGAUCAGUUUACAAGGGAACAUUGCCCGAUUCAACAGUCAUAGCAGUGAAGAAGCUGGAAGGCGUCAGCCAAGGGGAGAAACAAUUCCGCAAUGAAAUCAGCACAAUUGGUAACAUUCAACAUAUAAACCUUGUGCAUCUUCGCGGUUUCUGUUCUCAAGGUAACAAGAAGUUGUUAGUGUACGAGUAUGCAUCCAAUGGAUCAUUAGAUUCUCAUCUUUUCAACCCAAAAAAGGACGAGAGUAUAUUACCCUGGACAAGAAGGUAUGAAAUUGCAUUAGGGACAGCCAGAGGACUGGUGUAUCUGCACGAGAACUGCAGGGACUGUAUCAUACAUUGUGAUAUAAAACCUGAAAACAUUCUUCUGGAUUCUUUCAUGUGUCCCAAAGUUGCAGAUUUUGGGCUAGCAAAGUUGGUCGGUCGUAAUUUUAGUAGGGUUUUGACAACAAUGAGAGGAACUCGAGGCUACCUUGCUCCUGAAUGGAUAUCUGGCGGAGCCAUAACAGCAAAAGCAGAUGUGUAUAGCUUCGGAAUGAUGUUGUUUGAGUUUGUGUCAGGUAGGCGAAAUUCUGAGCAAACUAGAGAUGGGAAGGUUAACUUCUUUCCGGCAAUUGCUGCAAAUGUGAUAAUGGGCCGGGGCGACAUCCUUACUAUAUUAGACCCCAAUUUAAACCAGGUUGCUGAUGUAGAAGAAGUAACCAACAUAUGUAGAGUAGCUUGUUGGUGCAUACAAGAAAAUGAACAUGUUCGUCCAACAAUGAGCCAGAUAGUUCAAAUUCUUGAAGGGGUUGUGGAUGUGGACAUGCCUCCUGAUCCAAGAGGACUUCAAGUCUUUAUCGACAAUGAAGAUGAUAUUGUUUUCUUCACUGAUAAGGCAUCCUCCUCGAAUUUGCAUAUACAGAGCGAUCCUGCAUGGGCUUCAUCAUUCGUUGAAGAGCAGUAUACCAACAAAAAGACCCAAGGUUCAAAGAUACAGGAAUGUGAAUCUGAUUGAGCCUCGCUUUGGUUCCAUUUUCAUAUUAGAAAGUUUGAGAAAAUGAAACAUCGUUAAUACAUAUUAUAUAUUUAUUAAUAAUGUAUAAUUUGAUCCCACAUUAACUAGUCAUUUUGAGCCACAUUUUGGGUGACAAGUCAUUAUGUUUAGAGUAGAUUCUCCUCGGUGAGAUCUUUUUGAAGCACAUUUAAAUACUCAAAAUAUUUAAGAGAUGGAUGAGAUAUAAUUGUCCAAAGAUAGUUUUUUAAGAGUGGAAGUUGAUGAGGACGGUUGGAUAACUCAAUGGUUAAGAGCUCAUCCUCAGUCGUCUCAGGUACUGGGUUCGACCCGUUUGUAAAAAAAGAAAAAGAGUGGAAGUUGAUAUAUGAAACCUUAUAUCCCCUAUUGAAUUGAUAAAGAGCACUGGAACUAAUUUUUAUAACAAAACACUUUUCUAGUCUGGUGCAAAUUGUGAGAUGUCGAGGUGAAUUUCAUGAAUCCCCAUAAACAAUAACUAAUUCUUUUAAGUUAAAUCAAACGACCCCUUGACGCCUUUGUAUUAAUAUUUUGUGCUGCCAAUAUAAGCAUUCGAAUUGUAUCUAAGCGGGCUGCUCGAGCAAAAUGCGGGUGCGGGUACUGGGGUGUGUGGUACACGACGAUACGAGAAUUCGGCAAAUUUAAAAAUAUGAGGAUUCGGGUGCGGAGGAUUCGGCAAAUAUUAAUAUAUUAAAAAUAUAUUUUAUAUAUGUAUUUGAAGAGUUAAAUUCAUAUUUAAACUAAAUAAUCGAAUAAACAAGUUCAAUAUCCUUAACAAUAUACAAUAUAAUUAUUUAAUAACAUAAUUAUCACAUCAUAAGGUAGUCAAGUGACAGAAUAUUUAACUAAUCACAAAAUUAAUCAUUAAAAAGAAUCUUCAAGAAUCCCCGAGUAUCGAAGAAUCCCCAAGAAUCGAGUGCGCGGUACGGCGGGUAAGUGAAGUAUCCUGCUUUCUGGUCUACAAGUCUACAAUGUAAGUUGGUGUGUGUCCCUCGUGGCUCUUACUAUAUCCACCAUACUUGUCUUCCGUGACUUGGUUGAAGUUUACUUUAACUGCGCUUCUGCCUUGAUUAUUUCUUUUAUCAUUGCAUCAUUUCUUUAGUAUUUAGCGUUAACUGAUGUUCCCCAGAAGACAUGUCGACGUCUCUGUGCUUUACUUUUAAGGUUGUUCCGCCUUGGAUGCAUUCGGCGUAUCCGUUUGCACUAUAUCAUGAUCCCACCCUUUUCCCAGACCAAACAGUAGGUUUAUGUUGGUUCAGUUUGUUCUACCCUUUACCAAAUUUCAUGCUCUUAUUUUUUCUUUUAUCUUGAUGUUGUAUAAUUCAGCAUAAUUUCAAACUUGCAUGUAAGUUAUCCAUCAGUUUUGUUUUGCCAAGACUCCAAGUCAAGAACCAUCAUUGGAGCACUAAUUCUUGACUUUCUUUUAAGUUUAGAGUUAAGAGCUUGUUUAAAGAGCCCAUUGGAGAUGCUCUUAUAUAACAAAACACUUUUCUAGUCUGGUGCAAAUAAAUUGUGGGAUGUCGAGGUGAAUUUCAUGAAUUCGCAAGUGUUUGGAUUUUCUGCUACAACGCAGCUUCACUUAAACGUGAACUUUUAAGGCAACCACGACUACAAAGAAAUUUAUGAGUUUUGUUUUACCAGGCUCUAGAAACCUGUUUAAGACCAACAUACUCACAGAAACGAUCGAACACGAGCACAUCGGACACGCAGAUUGCAAGGCCUUCUCUUACAACCUUGUCCUCUUGUCCCUUAUAUGGACCUUAAAUUUUUCUUGAUUGCUUGACAUAUGUCUAGUCUUUGAGCACUUCAUUCAUCAAGAAAACUGGUUGACAUCCCGGAGUUCUAUAUUAAUUUUUUGUGCUGCCAAUUUAAGAAGCAUUCAAAUUGUGUCUAAGUGAGCUGCUCGAGCAAAAGUUGGUACAUCUUGCGAAUCUGGUCUACAAGUCUACAACGAUACGAAGCUUCACAUAAACAGAGGUAUUGGUAGUCCCUGUCAACAACUUUGGCAAAAUUUUCAAAUGCAUUAUGCAUAUCUUGUCAUUAUCUCAAAUUCACAGUGCGUUGAUUUUUCUUUCACUCACGCCAUUCUGUCUCGGGGUGUAUGGUGCUGAAUAUAAGCUGGUGCUAAGUACUGUUAUAAUCUCUUAUGACAUGAUAACAGUUAUCUUCAUCUGGAAAAUUUAAGUCGGUGCUUGACGCAAUAUAAUUUAAAUGGCGACGGGGGCGGAUCUAGGAUUCGAAUCGUGGGGCACCAAGCAAAUCUUCGAAAAACACUUAUAUAUUUUCAAAAUUUUUGGGGUACUUCUAUAAAUUUGUAAAAUUUAGAAUGAUGAAAAAAUAUAAAAAAAAUAAUUUAGGGGCACACGUGUCUCCCGCCUCUUAAUAGAUCCGCACAUGAGUGGCGACCAGCCUGUUCUGAACGCAAUUCUCCAACAGGCCACUGACCAGUUUUUCCACAGGCUAUCAUCACUUUGUACUUAUAAAACUUUAAAAGAAGAGGUUGUGAAUAACAAACUAUCAACCUCUUCCCCCACCAAAUACCAAGAAUAAAUUUUCCAUGAACAGGCUAUGGAUGCUAAAAAAACUUCUUUCUUUGCGCCAAUAUUAUUUUACUUGUGUAUCUUCAUCAACCUUAAUUUCUCUUUUGGAGCCGAUAGCAUCUCAACUUAUCAGUCUCUCUCAGGUGAUGAAACCAUUGUCUCUUCAGGCGGGAAUUUUGAACUUGGUUUCUUCAAGCCAGGCAACUUUUCCAAGUACUACAUCGGCAUAUGGUUCAAAAAGGUUUCUGCUCGAACUGUAAUAUGGGUAGCCAACAGAGAGAGGCCCAUCACUGAUAAAUAUUCUUCAGAGCUGCAAGUUGUAGAUGGUAACUUGGUGCUUUUUGAUGAGAGGCAUACUGAAAUUUGGUCCACAAACACAAAAUUGAAGUCCUCCAGGGCAGUAGCAAUACUUCUUGAUGAAGGAAAUUUAGUUUUGAGAAAUGGAUCAUCAAAUACAACAGUUUGGCAAAGUCGGGAUUACCCAUCAGAUACAUGGUUGCCAGGAGGUUACCUUGGUUACGAUAAACGUGCAAACAGGACACAGAUUCUUACUUCAUGGAAAAACUCAGAAGAUCCUUCUCCUGGAUUGUAC
rnacentral:lncRNA from 1 species